GCAAAGGAUUACAAGUUCCAGACCAAACUGGGCUACAAAACAAGAGCCUGUCUCAGAAAACGACAAUUUAGGGAUCCAAAACACUCCAAGGAACUCUAUAAAGCAGAACGAUAAGGCAGGACUCAGUGUGCCAGAGUGAGGUGUCCAUAUCUGACCCUAACAACAUGAAAAGCAAAGAUGUCCGACUUAAAAAUCAGAAAGGAGGGCCUCCCUGUUCUUGCAGCACUCUGGCUGACUCCUGCCUCGGAGGCUUGGCACCGGCUCCUCCCUCUGCCUCGUUCUCUUGGGUUUGCUUCUCCACCACCUUCUACUCAUUACUCACAGGGAACUUCUCAGUGAAUCUCCUUCUAACCCCUUCUAAGAGCACAACCACGCUCCAGCUACACAAAGGGAGACACUCCAGACUUUUCACUGCUACAUCUCAUGACUGCAACAGCAUCUGACAUCAAUAAAGUCUGCAAUUAAUCCAUGAAGAAUUGAUGCGUAAAUCACAAGUAAAUGUGAUUUACUAAUAUUAUAUUAUGUGACUUUCUAAUAAAUACAAACUAAGACACAGGACCAUCUGUAUUUUCUUAGUAUGAACUACAGGCUUAACUGUAAAUGGUUCAAAACCGAUUCAAAAUCAAAGAGAAGUCAGUCAACUCAAUUCAGCCAGCAUGGCAUUUUUAAAGAACACUGAAAUUAACACAAUUACAGAAGGCACUCAAGUGGACUUCCCUAGGACCCAAGAGGUCCAGUGGAGUCCACUCUUUAAAAAAGUCCAGGUGGGCUAUCAAAGCUUUGGACAACUAACAAGUUCAACAUGAGAAAAAUGUAUUUUCCUAAAUUCACAUUUUGAUUUUACUGACAGCUUUGAGACUCUGUGGGGAAGAGUCCUGUCAAAUCUGUCAGGGGCUUAUCCAACGCUUCUUGGCUACUUACAGGCAUGUUCAGAGAACACGCUGCCCCUCCACUUCUUUUUCUAAGCCCCAUUCUAAGUGCAAGGCAAACGGAAUAAUGAUCAUCGAUGAAAGAGGGUUUCUCGAGCUUUUAUACAAAAAAGGGCUGGCCAGAAGCCUGACUUGGUGGCUCUCACCUGUAUUCCCAGCUCUAGGGGGGGCUGAGACAAAAGAUCACCUGUGCCAUGAAGACACCCUGCCUCAAAACACAAUGUCACCGUCCCAGCAGUUCCAGCAGCAGGACCACACGAGGAAAAGCAGCACAAGACACCAAGGGAAAGGAAGCCAGGCAGGAACUGGAGGUAGGUGUUCUGCCGCAGUAA